UACGUAGGGUGCAAGCGUUGUCCGGAAUUAUUGGGCGUAAAGAGCUCGUAGGCGGUUUGUCGCGUCGAAUGUGAAAACCCGGGGCUCAACCCCGGGCCUGCAUUCGAUACGGGCAGACUAGAGUUCGGUAGGGGAGUCUGGAAUUCCUGGUGUAGCGGUGAAAUGCGCAGAUAUCAGGAGGAACACCGGUGGCGAAGGCGGGUCUCUGGGCAUUACCUGACGCUGAGGAGCGAAAGUGUGGGGGGCGAACAGG
rnacentral:rRNA from 1 species